AGAACAGUGCCCGAUCGACAAGGAUCAUCUUGAUGAGAUGAAGCAAAUGAUUUCAUUCAUAUGUUCAA
rnacentral:tRNA from 1 species